GGAGGAUGCUCCAGACUAUUCAAGGUCUUCGUUUGAACUAUCUUGGAAACAAUACAUAUCUUGCCCAAAUUUAGAUACAGUCAACUCUCUUUAUGAGAAUUUGGGAAGCCCAAACUAUAAAUCCUGAAAUUUUAAAGCACAUAGAUAAGUUUGCCUCCGAGGAAGUCCACGACUUCUAAAUAACUGAUGAUGGAUUGUACCAAUUCUGAGAUUGAAUAGAGGUACCUAGCAACUCUGAGCUCAUAUUGGAUGUUCUGAAGGAUACUCAUGCAUUUAAGUUGUCUAUCCACC
rnacentral:lncRNA from 1 species